UGAGAAAGUAUUUACAUGCACCAGUCAACUGUGGAACAAUUCUAUCAGAUCUCAUUGAAAAAGUCUGCUUGAAGAAAACUUUGAAGAAAAUCAGUUCAGCAGCUUUAAAGAGGCAGGUCAAUUACUUCACUCAUUGACCUUAGAAGAUUUCACAAUUUGAAGCAUAACAACAAGGGUUUAAAUUAAUUUUAAAGUACAAGUGGAAAAGAACAGCAGAUCUGCAAAACUUAUAAAAUAAAUAUUA